rnacentral:rRNA from 1 species
UACAGAGGUCUCAAGCGUUGUUCGGAUUCAUUGGGCGUAAAGGGUGCGUAGGCGGCGCGGUAAGUCGGGUGUGAAAUCUCGGAGCUUAACUCCGAAACUGCAUUCGAUACUGCCGUGCUUGAGGACUGGAGAGGAGACUGGAAUUUACGGUGUAGCGGUGAAAUGCGUAGAUAUCUGGAGGAAUACCGGUGGCGAAGGCGGUAUCCUGGACCGGCAUUGACGCUGAGGAGCGAAAGCCAGGGGAGCAAACGGG